rnacentral:rRNA from 1 species
UACGUAGGGUCCGAGCGUUGUCCGGAGUUACUGGGCGUAAAGCGCGCGUAGGCGGCUUUGUAAGUUAGAGGUGAAAGCCCGGAGCUCAACUCCGGAACUGCCUUUAAGACUGCAUCGCUUGAAUCCGGGAGAGGUGAGUGGAAUUCCGAGUGUAGAGGUGAAAUUCGUAGAUAUUCGGAAGAACACCAGUGGCGGAAAGGCGGCUCACUGGACCGGUAUUGACGCUGAGGUGCGAAAGCGUGGGGAGCAAACAGG